rnacentral:rRNA from 1 species
AACGAACGCUGGCGGCAUGCCUAACACAUGCAAGUCGAACGAGACCUUCGGGUCUAGUGGCGCACGGGUGCGUAACGCGUGGGAACCUGCCCUUAGGUUCGGCAUAACUCCCCGAAAGGGGUGCUAAUACCGGAUAAUGUCUUCGGACCAAAGAUUUAUCGCCUUUGGAUGGGCCCGCGUUGGAUUAGCUAGUUGGUAGGGUAAAAGCAUACCAAGGCGACGAUCCAUAGCUGGUCUGAGAGGAUGAUCAGCCACACUGGGACUGAGACACGGCCCAGACUCCUACGGGAGGCAGCAGUGGGGAAUAUUGGACAAUGGGCGAAAGCCUGAUCCAGCAAUGCCGCGUGAGUGAUGAAGGCCUUAGGGUUGUAAAGCUCUUUUACCCGGGAUGAUAAUGACAGUACCGGGAGAAUAAGCUCCGGCUAACUCCGUG